rnacentral:tRNA from 1 species
CCCUGGGUGGUGCAAAUUGUCAAUGUGCUCAGCUACUAACUGAAAGGUUGGAGGUUCAAGUCCUUCCACAGGUG